UCUCCUGGAAACGGGUGGUAAUGCCGGAUGCUCCAUCACACUGCAUGGUGUGUUGGGAAAGCCUUUGCGGCAUGGGAUGGGGUCGCGUCCUAUCAGCUUGAUGGCGGGGUAACGGCCCACCAUGGCUUCGACGGGUAGCCGGCCUGAGAGGGCGACCGGCCACAUUGGGACUGAGAUACGGCCCAGACUCCUACGGGAGGCAGCAGUGGGGAAUAUUGCACAAUGGGCGCAAGCCUGAUGCAGCGACGCCGCGUGAGGGAUGGAGGCCUUCGGGUUGUAAACCUCUUUUGUUAGGGAGCAAGGCAUUUUGUGUUGAGUGUACCUUUCGAAUAAGCACCGGCUAACUACGUGCCAGCAGCCGCGGUAAUACGUAGGGUGCAAGCGUUAUCCGGAAUUAUUGGGCGUAAAGGGCUCGUAGGCGGUUCGUCGCGUCCGGUGUGAAAGUCCAUCGCUUAACGGUGGAUCCGCGCCGGGUACGGGCGGGCUUGAGUGCGGUAGGGGAGACUGGAAUUCCCGGUGUAACGGUGGAAUGUGUAGAUA
rnacentral:rRNA from 1 species